GUGAAAUGACCCUUUUAGCCCUAGUUUGUUUUGUUAUGUUUUUGGUUACUUGGUGUGGUGUUGGCAGGUGCUGGGCCACCCACACACACCCUCAUUGUCCCUAUCCCUCUCUCAGUCUCUUUCCCUGUCUCUCUCUCUCUCCCGAGUCCUCUAUUAUUCUUCUUCUUCCUUCAAACUCGUACGGACACACCUACAACUACACUAUUUCACCACAGAUCGAAGGAACUAAGGGCACAGUUGAGAUCGUGAGGUCGUGGGGAGCAAGAUCAUACCAAUAUCAGCUUGUAGAUGUGUUGGUGAGGUCCCAAGGAGCUUGGGAGUGCAUCGUUGGACGGAAUUGGACGUCAGAUUAGCCUGGUUCGAGUUUGACCGGUUUUGGUAAUUGGUGACAGGUGACACGUAUCCCGAGGACGAGCGUGCUCACGCGAGGCAGGG